CCAGCAGCCGCGGUAAUACGGAGGGUCCAAGUGUUGUCCGGAAUCACUGGGUGUAAAGGAUGUGCAGGCGGGGCAGCAAGUCAGAGGUGAAAUCCUGCGGCUUAACCGCAGAAGUGCCUUUGAAACUGCUGCUCUUGAGUCCUGGAGAGGUUGCCGGAAUUCGUGGUGUAGCGGUGAAAUGCGUAGAUAUCACGAGGAACACCAGAGGCGAAAGCGGGCAACUGGACAGGUACUGACGGUGAGGCAUGAGAGCGUGGGGAGCAAACAGGAUUAGAUCCCCUGGUAGUCCGCGCCGUAAACGAUGAAUGCUCGCCGUGUCUC
rnacentral:rRNA from 1 species